rnacentral:rRNA from 1 species
CGUAGGGACCGAGCGUUGUCCGGAUUCAUUGGGCGUAAAGAGCUCGUAGGCGGCUGCUCAAGUCGAAUGUGAAACCUCGAGGCUUAACCUCGAGCCUGCAUUCGAUACUGGGCGGCUAGAGUCUGGUAGGGGGAUCUGGAAUUCCUGGUGUAGCGGUGGAAUGCGCAGAUAUCAGGAGGAACACCGGUGGCGAAGGCGGGAUCCUGGGCCAGUACUGACGCUGAGGAGCGAAAGCGUGGGGAGCAAACAGGAUUAGAUACCCUGGUAGUCCACGCCGUAAACGGUGGGCGCUAGGUGUGGGAGGUCAUCGACUCCUUCCGUGCCGCAGCUAACGCAUUAAGCGCCCCGCCUGGGGAGUACGGCCGCGAGGCUA